CUACGGGUCGCUGCAGUGAGGAAUAUUGCACAAUGGGGGGAACCCUGAUGCAGCAACGCCGCGUGGAGGAUGACGCAUUUCGGUGUGUAAACUCCUUUCAUAUGUCAAGAAAAUGACGGUAGCAUAUGAAUAAGCACCGGCUAACUCCGUGCCAGCAGCCGCGGUAAUACGGAGGGUGCAAGCGUUACUCGGAAUCACUGGGCGUAAAGGACGCGUAGGCGGGUUGGAAAGUCAGGUGUGAAAUCCUACAGCUUAACUGUAGAACUGCACUUGAAACUUGUAAUCUAGAGUAUGGGAGGGGGAGAUGGAAUUAGUGGUGUAGGGGUAAAAUCCGUAGAUAUCACUAGGAAUACCUAAAGCGAAGGCGAUCUCCUGGAACAUUACUGACGCUAAGGCGUGAAAGCGUGGGGAGCAAACAGGAUUAGAUACCCUCGUAGUC
rnacentral:rRNA from 1 species